GCCUUGGUGGAUCAAUUGGUAGAUCAUGCCUACUCAAUUAGGUGGUCAUGGCGCAAAUUAUACGUAGUAGGAAGACGGAGGUUCGAAUCCUCCCCAAGGCA